rnacentral:lncRNA from 1 species
AGAUAGAGAUAAGACAUCCUGGAAGCCCAGGGUCCAGAUUUCUGUCAUACUUGACAAUCAGGAGAGCUGUCUUAAAUAAGGUAAAAGUCAGAAGUGAUUCCCAAGGCUGUCUCCUGAUUCCACAUGUUCUACAUGUGAUUAAAAACAUCAAAAGGGCAGGCUGGAUAUGCUGGUGCACUGUUGUUUUUUUUAACAAAAUCUUUGUAAAAACACCAGUCAAUUUUACUAGUGAAGACUGGGCUGCCAGAUGCUGGGGUGAAAGCCCGCUAGUUCAGAGAGGCAGAGAAAGCACCCAGUUGACCUUCCUCCUCAGCCUUUGGUCAGAAGCAGUCCCAUCAGGCUAUCUCAAAAAAAACAAACAAACAAAAAAAAAAAACCCAUCUACAAACUCAGUGUCUGUCCCUUCUACUUCCCAUGUGUGUCUCUAUCCACCUCCUGACUCCCUCUUACUCUCUAUGUUUGUUCUUAAUAAUCCUGUGUUCAUUUCCUGUCAACUGAUUGCUUGCUCCACCUCUUGACUUAUGGUUGACUUUAAUAUCUAUAACAGUACACACCUUUAAUCUCAAACCCUCAGGUGUUAGAGGCAGGACACGAUCUCUGAAUUUGAGAUUAGUUCAUUCUGAAUACCAACUUCUAGUCCAGCCAGGGCUAGCUAUGUAGUGAGACCCUUCCUGAAAAAAAAG